rnacentral:rRNA from 1 species
GCUCACCCAAGGCGACGAUGCGUAGCCGACCUGAGAGGGUGAUCGGCCACACUGGGACUGAGACACGGCCCAGACUCCUACGGGAGGCAGCAGUAGGGAAUCUUCCACAAUGGGCGAAAGCCUGAUGGAGCAACGCCGCGUGAGUGAAGAAGGUGUCUCGGAUCGUAAAACUCUGUUGUAAGGGAAGAACAAGUACAGUAGUAACUGGCUGUACCUUGACGGUACCUUAUUAGAAAGCCACGGCUAACUACGUGCCAGCAGCCGCGGUAAUACGUAGGUGGCAAGCGUUGUCCGGAAUUAUUGGGCGUAAAGCGCGCGCAGGCGGUCCUUUAAGUCUGAUGUGAAAGCCCACGGCUCAACCGUGGAGGGUCAUUGGAAACUGGGG